ACGAACGCUGGCGGCGUGCUUAACACAUGCAAGUCGAACGGAAAGGCCCCCACUUUUUUGGUGGGGGUGCUCGAGUGGCGAACGGGUGAGUAACACGUGGGUGAUCUGCCCUGCACUUCGGGAUAAGCUUGGGAAACUGGGUCUAAUACCGGAUAGGACCAUGGUUUAGUGUCUCAUGGUGGAAAGAUUAUUGUUNUGGUGCAGGAUGAGCUCGCGGCCUAUCAGCUUGUUGGUGGGGUAAUGGCCUACCAAGGCGUCGACGGGUAGCCGGCCUGAGAGGGUGGACGGCCNNNNNNNNNCUGAGAUACGGCCCAGACUCCUACGGGAGGCAGCAGUGGGGAAUAUUGCACAAUGGGCGCAAGCCUGAUGCAGCGACGCCGCGUGGGGGAUGACGGCCUUCGGGUUGUAAACUCCUUUCGUUAGGGACGAAGCNNNNNNNNUGGGUGUGGUGACGGUACCUUUGUUAAGAAGCACCGGCUAACUACGUGCCAGCAGCCGCGGUAAUACGUAGGGUGCGAGCGUUGUCCGGAAUUACUGGGCGUAAAGNGCUCGUAGGUGGUUUGUUGCGUCGUCUGUGAAAUUCCGGNGCUUAACUUCGGGGUGGCAGGCGAUACGGGCAUAACUAGAGUGCUGUAGGGGAGACUGGAAUUCCUGGUGUAGCGGUGGAAUGCGCAGAUAUCAGGAGGAACACCGAUGGCGAAGGCAGGUCUCUGGGCAGUAACUGACGCUGAGGAGCGAAAGCAUGGGGAGCGAACAGGAUUAGAUACCCUGGUAGUCCAUGCUGUAAACGGUGGGCGUUAGGUGUGGGGACCGGUUUGGUUUCNGUGCCGUAGCUAACGCAUUAAGCGCCCNGCCUGGGGAGUACGGCCGCAAGGCUAAAACUCAAAGGAAUUGACGGGGGCCNGCACAAGCGGCGGAGCAUGUGGAUUAAUUCGAUGCAACUCGAAGAACCUUACCUGGGNUUGACAUGCACCAGACGGUCGUAGAGAUACGUACCUCCCUUGUGGUUGGUGUGCAGGUGGUGCAUGGUUGUCGUCAGCUCGUGUCGUGAGAUGUUGGGUUAAGUCCCGCAACGAGCGCAACCCUUGUCUUAUGUUGCCAGCACUUUGGGUGGGGACUCAUGAGAGACUGCCGGGGUUAACUCGGAGGAAGGUGGGGAUGACGUCAAAUCAUCAUGCCCUUUAUGCCCAGGGCUUCACACAUGCUACAAUGGUUAGUACAAAGCGCUGCNAACCUGUGAGGGUGAGCGAAUCGCUGAAAGCUAAUCUCAGUUCGGAUUGGGGUCUGCAACUCGACCCCAUGAAGUCGGAGUCGCUAGUAAUCGCAGAUCAGCAAUGCUGCGGU
rnacentral:rRNA from 1 species